GGGUGAGUAACGCGUGAACNAUCUGCCUCAAAGUGGGGGAUAACCNUUCCAACGGAUGGCUAAUACCGCNNAGGGUUCGGGGACGGCNUCGUUCCCUUACGAAAGCAUUUAUGCGCUUUGAGAUGAGUUCGCGUCCCAUUANCUNGUUGGCGGGGUAACGGCCCACCAAGGCAACGAUGGGUAGCCGGCCUGAGAGGGUGUCCGGCCACAUUGGGACUGANAUACGGCCCAGACUCCUACGGGAGGCAGCANUAGGGAAUUUUGCGCAAUGGGGGAAACCCUGACGCAGCAACGCCNUGUGUGGGAUGAAGCAUUUCGGUGUGUAAACCACUGUCGGCAGGGAAUAAAGCCCACAUUUAUGUGGGGGUGAAUGUACCUGCANAGGAAGCCCCGGCUAACUUCAUGCCANCAGCCGCGGUAAUACGAGGGGGGCAAGUGUUGUUCGGAAUCACUGGGCGUAAAGGGANCGUANGCGGAUGCUUAAGUUGGAUGUUUAAAACCGGGGCCCAACCCCGGGGCGGCNUCCNAAACUGG
rnacentral:rRNA from 1 species